rnacentral:rRNA from 1 species
GACGAACGCUGGCGGCGUGCUUAACACAUGCAAGUCGAACGGAAAGGCCCUGCUUUUGUGGGGUGCUCGAGUGGCGAACGGGUGAGUAACACGUGAGUAACCUGCCCUUGACUUUGGGAUAACUUCAGGAAACUGGGGCUAAUACCGGAUAGGAGCUCCUGCUGCAUGGUGGGGGUUGGAAAGUUUCGGCGGUUGGGGGUGGACUCGCGGCUUAUCAGCUUGUUGGUGGGGGAGUGGCUUACCAAGGCUUUGACGGGUAGCCGGCCUGAGAGGGUGACCGGCUACAUUGGGACUGAGCUACGGCCCAGACUCCUCCCGAUGGCAGCCGUCCGGAAUAUUGCACAAUAAUCGGAAUCAUGAUGCGACAACGCCGCGAGCGAGAUGACCGCCUUCCGGGUUUAAACCCCUUUUGCCUAUGACGUAGCGUGUGUGACGGUUAUCGCUAAAGAAGCACCGGCUAACUACGUG